AUCUAAGUACCCCGAGGAAAAGAAAUCAACCGAGAUUCCCCCAGUAGCGGCGAGCGAACGGGGAGGAGCCCAGAGCCUGAAUCAGCAUGUGUGUUAGUGGAAGCGUCUGGAAAGGCGCGCGAUACAGGGUGACAGCCCCGUACACAAAAGCGCAUGUGCUGUGAGCUCGAUGAGUAGGGCGGGACACGUGGUAUCCUGUCUGAAUAUGGGGGGACCAUCCUCCAAGGCUAAAUACUCCUGACUGACCGAUAGUGAACCAGUACCGUGAGGGAAAGGCGAAAAGAACCCCGGCGAGGGGAGUGAAAAAGAACCUGAAACCGUGUACGUACAAGCAGUGGGAGCACCCUUUUGGGUGUGACUGCGUACCUUUUGUAUAAUGGGUCAGCGACUUAUAUUCUGUAGCAAGGUUAACCGUAUAGGGGAGCCGGAGGGAAACCGAGUCUUAACCGGGCGUUAAGUUGCAGGGUAUAGACCCGAAACCCGGUGAUCUAGCCAUGGGCAGGUUGAAGGUUGGGUAACACUAACUGGAGGACCGAACCGACUAAUGUUGAAAAAUUAGCGGAUGACCUGUGGCUGGGGGUGAAAGGCCAAUCAAACCGGGAGAUAGCUGGUUCUCCCCGAAAGCUAUUUAGGUAGCGCCUCGUGAAUUCAUCUCCGGGGGUAGAGCACUGUUUCGGCUAGGGGGCCAUCCCGGCUUACCAACCCGAUGCAAACUGCGAAUACCGGAGAAUGUUAUCACGGGAGACACACGGCGGGUGCUAACGUCCGUCGUGAAGAGGGAAACAACCCAGACCGCCAGCUAAGGUCCCAAAGUCAUGGUUAAGUGGGAAACGAUGUGGGAAGGCCCAGACAGCCAGGAUGUUGGCUUAGAAGCAGCCAUCAUUUAAAGAAAGCGUAAUAGCUCACUGGUCGAGUCGGCCUGCGCGGAAGAUGUAACGGGGCUAAACCAUGCACCGAAGCUGCGGCAGCGAAC
rnacentral:rRNA from 1 species